GACGAACGCUGGCGGCGUGCUUAACACAUGCAAGUCGAACGGAAAGGCCCUGCUUUUGUGGGGUGCUCGAGUGGCGAACGGGUGAGUAACACGUGAGUAACCUGCCCUUGACUUUGGGAUAACUUCAGGAAACUGGGGCUAAUACCGGAUAGGAGCUCCUGCUGCAUGGUGGGGGUUGGAAAGUUUCGGCGGUUGGGGAUGGACUCGCGGCUUAUCAGCUUGUUGGUGGGGGAGUGGCUUACCAAGGCUUUGACGGGUAGCCGGCCUGAGAGGGUGACCGGCCACAUUGGGACUGAGAUACGGCCCAGACUCCUACGGGAGGCAGCAGUGGGGAAUAUUGCACAAUGGGCGGAAGCCUGAUGCAGCAACGCCGCGUGCGUGAUGACGGCCUUCGGGUUGUAAACCGCUUUCGCCUGUGACGAAGCGUGAGUGACGGUAAUGGGUAAAGAAGCACCGGCUAACUACGUG
rnacentral:rRNA from 1 species